GGAAAAGUCAAGGUUGAAGAAUGGUUUAAUAAUCGUAUUUGCAAUAACUAUUGCGUGUUCAGCGGAAUUCUCCAAAGCAAUUGAAUCACCAGAGUACAGAAUAGUGCACUCAGAAUCAGAUUUUGAAAUCAGACAUUACAGAGAGUCGGUAUGGAUGGUGGCACCCGUCAACGAAAUAUCCUUCGAAAAAGCAACCAGAAAUGGUUUUCACAGGUUGUUUCAGUUCAUUCAAGGUGCAAAUUUAAACUUUUCUCGUAUCUAUAUGACAAAGCCAGUUUUGACUAGCAUUGUCCCAGGAGCUGGUCCUCUUCACUCAUCGGCAUACUUUGUUAAGUUCUACUUGCCUGAUAAGUUCCAGGCCGAUCCACCUCUUCCCCUUCCGGAGCUAAACCUUCAACCUGAUCCAUGGACCAGCCAUUGCAUUGCUGUUAGGAAGUUUUCAGGAUUUGCAAGAGACAGCAACAUUGUUAAAGAAGCUGAGAAACUGGCUCUGAGCUUGAGUAGAUCUCCAUGGGCAAACUCCACUGCUUCUACAAGUGAAUAUGCUUACUCUAUAGCGCAGUAUAAUUCUCCCUUCCGGAUUAUUGGGCGUGUCAAUGAAGUGUGGGUGGAUGUCACUGGAUCUCGAGCGAAUGGUUGCGAAUCCAAUCCAAUUGCUGCAUACUGAUUAUGAGUGUGAGCUUGAAGCUUCUUGGAUCGUUGUUUUACAUCUCCCGUUAUAGAGACCAGAGAGACAUUAAUGGUUGUUUCUUAUGUUCAUAUAUUAUCAUGUUCGUGUUCUGCAAAUUUGGGACUUCAUGGAAGUGUGAUAAAUUCUGUAAUUCCCUUGAUAAAGAACUUUGACAUUACCAUGCGUGUUGUUCCUGUACGGCAUUUAACUCCACGUUGUUGAUAAAA
rnacentral:misc_RNA from 1 species